rnacentral:tRNA from 1 species
GUAUUGUAGUUUAUUGAUUACAAAGGACUCUUAAUCCGUAGGUCGAGAGUUCGAUCCUCUCACGACCCACCA